CGUAGGUGGCAAGCGUUGUCCGGAUUUAUUGGGUUUAAAGGGUGCGUAGGCGGCCUUAUAAGUCAGUGCUGAAAUAUCCCGGCUUAACCGGGAGGGUGGCAUUGAUACUGUAGGGCUUGAGUGUAGUCGAGGUAGGCGGAAUUGACGGUGUAGCGGUGAAAUGCUUAGAUAUCGUCAAGAACACCGAUAGUGUAGACAGCUUACUAGGCUACAACUGACGCUGAGGCACGAAAGUGUGGGGAUCAAACAGGAUUAGAUACCCUGGUAGUCCACACUGUAAACGUUGAUUACUCGAUGUUGGCGAUACACAGUCAGCGUCUUAGCGCAAGCGAUAAGUAAUCCACCUGGGGAGUACGCCGGCAACGGUG
rnacentral:rRNA from 1 species